UACGUAGGGUGCAAGCGUUGUCCGGAAUUAUUGGGCGUAAAGAGCUCGUAGGCGGUUUGUCGCGUCUGCUGUGAAAACGCGAGGCUUAACCUCGCGCCUGCAGUGGGUACGGGCAGACUAGAGUGCGGUAGGGGAGACUGGAAUUCCUGGUGUAGCGGUGGAAUGCGCAGAUAUCAGGAGGAACACCGGUGGCGAAGGCGGGUCUCUGGGCCGUUACUGACGCUGAGGAGCGAAAGCAUGGGGAGCGAACAGG
rnacentral:rRNA from 1 species